GAGGGUAGAGAUGCUCAUCAAAGUAGAGGAGAUAAGUUCAUCCACUUUAAAAAAAUGUAUUUUGGCACAGUGGUUAAGAGCACAGUUACUGUUCUAGAGGAGCUGGCUUGAGUCCCAGCACCAACAUGGUGGCUCAAAAACAACUGCAAUUUUAGUUCUAGGGGAUCCAACAUCCUCUUCUGGACUCCACAGGCACUACAUACAUACUCCUAAUGCACAUACAUACAUACAUACAUACAUACAUACAUACAUGCAAAUAAAACACUCUUACACAUAAAAAAAUAAAGUAAAUCUUAAAAAUAUGAAAAAUACAUUUUAUUUCAUUUAUUAUUGUUAUUAAAUGUCAUCAUCACCGUUGUUGUUGUUGUUGUCGUCAUCAUCAUCAUCCUCGUGUAUCUUCCAUGGCAACCAUGUAGGUCCUUGGGAUUGAAUUUAGGCAUAAUGUGGAAUUUUUCUCACAGCCCCAAGUUCCUAGAAUAACAACUGUGAUACUCAAAUUCUAUGUACAAAUACCUUGGGCAUAAACUUUGGCUAUUCCCUGAUAAGAUCAUAAUUUAAUAUCCCAUUUAUUCUAAUCUAAGUUCGCCCACCUGUGUCUUCCUUUCUGUUCCUGUACCUGGCUCUAUCCUACAAUCUUUUCUGCCUAUUGGAUGUACCACCUUCUAUUUUCUGCCUCAGCUACAGGCCAAUCAGCUUUAAUUGACAAGUGUUGCAUCCAUAUAGUGCACAAAGAUAUCCUCUACACUUAGGCCAUCAGAUUUGGCAGCAGUUACAUUAAAUGUUGAGCUAUCUCACUACCCAUAUUAAAGAAAAAGUCUACUCUUCCUCACCCCAAAGUCCUCUUUUAUAAGCUUGUGAGCUAUAGUCCUUUGCCUAAUAAGCCAUUUAUGUUCCUGGUACAGGCUUGUACUGCUUCAUAAAAUGUGUUAAAACAGUAUUGUAGAUUUGCUAGACAUUUAAAGGCAGCUAAGAAUUUCUAAAGCUAAAGAUAAGGCAUUUGGUUUAGCUUUGCUUAAAUGUACCUACAAAUGGUGUGGGGACAUAUUUCAGUAAGGCAUGAAUGGAGUGUAUUUUUGUUGCUGUUAUUUUUCCCAAGUUCAAAUAAAAAUACUCUUAUAUUUGAACCAAAGGAGAGCCAGUAAAAAGCAGGGUGUAUGUGAGUCAGAGUUGAAACUAGACAGAGCUCACGACUACCAGAUGGUCUCUCCACAUUGUACUAUGCUGACAUAUCUCAUUAGCUAGGACUCAGGUAGAAGACUCACUUCCAUUAAACAGACUUAAGCAAACCAGCAAGCAAAUAUAAAGCUUGUUUAACACAAGGGUUCAGGGGUCCAUUAGCUUCAGGCUUGCUUGGUAUCAACAGGCCUUAAGAUUCUCUAGGUGUGAGAUUCAGUCAAGCAAAGUUUCCCUUUAUAUUCAAUUGACUUUAAGUCCUAGACCUUGAGUCCUAGAUCUCCACAAUUUCAACUCUAACAGAAAACUGAUUUUUUUUUUUUGGUCUCAUAUAUAUAUUAGACCUACCUUACUUAAUGGUCUAGGACAGCCCAUAAAAAUCUCCUGUAUCAUGUAUUCAUCUCCAAGGAUGGCAGUAUUGCCUGGCCCAAGCCACAUAGCAUUUAAACAGAGUCCGUAGCACCUAUAUCUCUUGCAUAAAGUGGGAGGAAUUUCUUGGAAACUCAGGUAGUGAGGAGUGUUCAUAUGCCAACAACUUCUUAGGCUUAAUUUUGUAGAUAAGGUGUAGAAGGUUAUUCUUUUUUAUCUAUAGACUUUAAAAUGUUUGACAAGUGAUUGUUAUUCCACAUACUUCAUUUUCUUAGUUUAAAGUGCCAACUUAGCAUUUCACACAUGUCUUUGGUACUGGGGUUAGCCUGUUUUCUGAUUCUCUUUACAUCUGAUAGUUUUGGUCAUGUAAAUAGAAAAAAAAUGGCAAAAAUAAAGAAAUGUAUUUAGGUGUGGAGCCACACACCUGUAAUCUUACCUCUCGGAAGGCAGAGGCAAGUGGAUUGUGAACAUGCUAGCUCUGCCAAUGUGACCCACCCUGUAGUCUCUGGGGAAGAGCCUGAGUUAGGGGUUUGUCUUGAUUUCUUUUUGGUUUCAUAAGAAGUUUGGCUAAGAUGAUGUUGGACAUCCCUUUCAGUUGCUUUCCUUUAGUGAGUAGUAGCCCUGCCUAUUGUAAAUCUGGUUGGAACUAAAAGUUCUGUGUGCUUGCAUGUGUGUGUGUGUAUACAAACAUAUACACAUGUACACACAUGCUUACACAACCUCAAGUGUCCCUCAGGUGCUAUCGCCCUUGGUUUUUUGAGUUAGGGUCUCUUACUGACCUUGAACUCAUUAAGCUAGCUGGCCAGUAAAUUCCAGUAUCCUCCCUCCUAUCUCUGCUUCCCCAGCCCUGGGGAUUACAAGUGUCCUGCCACCACACCUGAUUUGUAUUUUUUUAAAUGUGGGUUCUGGGUACUGAACUCAGGAUCUCAUAUUUGAACAGCAAGCACUGUGCAGGCUCCACUACCUGUUCAUUUAUUCUCAUCCUGUCGAUCCAGUUGAGUCGUUAGAACAGGUGUCGACAAGGUGGCUUACAAAUCAUAGAAAAUCAUUUCUUCCAGUUGUGGAAGCUAGGGAUUCCAGGAUCAAGCCAGAUUUGUUAUCUAGUGUGGGCCUCUGUCAGCUGCAGACUGCUGACUUCUUGUAUCCUCACAUGGUGUGCACAGUAGGCUAGCUCUUAUGCCUCUUACAUAAAAGACACAAAUUCCCAGGGUGGGUGUAAGGGAGAUGCUGCCCUUCCCAAUUGAUAUAGGACAUAUCCUGACACUAAAUUCUCAGCAUAAAGGAGUUUUAUUAUCCUAGAUGGUCAAGCAGUGGAGGCUGCAAAGGCAGGCAGCAAGCCACAGCCGUGGCAGCAACAGCAAUAACUGAAGCAGCAAGCAAGCAAACAAGAAAGCAGAUUUUUAAUUUUUUUCAGGAGUAGGUUUUUAAGGAGAAAAGGGUAAAGUUGGUGCUAGAGUGAGUUGGUAAGUCCUGAUCGGACAUAUUAUCC
rnacentral:lncRNA from 1 species